rnacentral:misc_RNA from 1 species
AUCAUUUCUCAACUCACUUCCGAGUGUGAAAAUCAAUGAAUCAUCGAAAAACUGUUCGAUUUGUAUGGAGGAAUUUGGAAUUGAUACAGAAGCGAGUCAAUUGCCUUGUAAGCAUUUUUUUCAUAAUGAUUGUAUUAUCCCUUGGCUUAAUCGGAGUAAUACUUGUCCACUCUGUCGGUAUAAAUUGCCACAAGAAGAUGAGGGUGAAGAUGGAGAUGAAAUUG